GGUAAUGUAACGGAAUAAACUUUGGGUUGUCACAGAAAAUGAUACAAAAUUGAAAGUUGCAAACUUGAUAAUAAUCGCCUGAUUUACACCAUCUGCAUGCAACAUAAAAAUAGAGUAAAAUUACAAUCACAUCAUUGUAAUUUGGAUAUAUUUCCCAAAGUACAAUCCUAUGAUCGGAGUCGUUUGGUAAUCCAAGCAUCUUUUUACUUAUGUCAAAUUAUCAAUAUGUAAGUUGAAAAAGCAACAUGUGAGAAUCAUUCAUAAACAUCAAAAGUGAAGUUGUUUAUAGACUAAACAUAUUUUUCCAAUUCAUAGCAUUUGCAUACCAAAAGUCAAUUUUAGAUGUACCUUUUACCUAAAAAUAUUACAACUUUCUAUCUACUUCAUGUUCAGACAAAUGCCACAAUGAAAAACAUAAAGGCAGCAACUUAAUGCUCCAAUUAAACAGUUGCCAACAUGAUAUAUAUGGAAUAUAGAAAAUUAAGCAAAUAAAGUCUCACCAAAGUGAUGAUCCUGGGCAAUUAUCAUAAAUGACCAUCCUCUCUCCCCCCUACUGAUACUGAUCUUGCAAGUAAAACACAACUAUUAUGUAAUAAAUUUCCUUCUAAAAAGAAUUAAUCUGCAACUUCCAUCAAAAUUAUACAUUAGCUUUCUUGAUGCAAUGCUAUAAAUGACAAACAUAAAACAUAGUUAGUGCUCCCUGCAUGGAUCAUUGAAAACUUCUUCCAGUCUUACUCAUCCUACUAGUACCCUCAUUUUGAUACCUAUUAACUAUAUAUAAUUAUAACAACAAAAAACCCUAAGAAUAUAUAAAAAUGCAGAUUCGCAAUAAUAGAACACCAAAACCAUUACCUUCACUUGUUAAGAAGCGACUCUUGAUCAUGAGUCAAGUCCAUUUCAUGUAUCUAAAACAACACAUGGACUAUUAACGAACAUAAGCGGGAAAAAAACAAUUAAGGUCCUAAGAUUUUACUAUAGCUUCAACAUAAGAAAAGUAACGUAUUUCACCAUCAUUAUCAGAGUUGAUCUGAUACAUGACAAUCAUUCAUUGAUUUUGGAUCAAUCGGUUUAGCAAUGCCAACAAUAUAUAUAAAGUUAUAAAUUGGUAAUAAUCAUGAUAAGAAACUAUGGAACACGAAAAGCAUUACCUUUAGCACGCUGCAUAACGGAAUCUAUAAUCCGAUUCCUUUGAUUGUGUCAAAAAUUAGAAGAAAAACAGAAAUUGGUGGGGAAAAUGGUUGGUUUCAUGGGAAAUAGGCAACCUAGUUCCUUAAUCCGACUCUUCAAUGUUAUGUAUUGAGAUACAUAAACGAAAAUUGAAACUUUUUGAAAUUUACCAGAGAAGAUGAGAAUUGAGUGCAAAAGGGAAAUUGAUAAAGGUUGUGCCCAAAGUUCACUCUCCGGUUCAAGGAAUUGAGAGAGCUGAUAUGUGGGAUGGAGUUGUUAAUAAUUAGGUAUGAGUGCUAUGUUUAUAUAAAGAGAGGUCUGAUAGAGAGUAGUCUGGUGGACAGGUUGACUAAUUUCAUUUUUGGACUCAUCAUUACCAUCCUGCAAGUAAAUAGAAAAAAAUAUGUUAUUUAUAUACACAGAAAAAAAAGCACUGAUUGAUUCAUCACAAUUUACUUUCAGUUUCAUGCACCAAUUGAGAAGAACUACUAAGAAUCAUCCUACAAGUAAAGCGGAAAUCAUAUAGAUACCUACAAAGAUGAAAAGAGCGCUAGAUUACUUUAAAUGUUUACCAUAUAAGCCCUUGAUCAGUAGUUGUCCUCAUCCAAACUACAGAAAAAAAAAAUCAACAUGGAUUAGAUGAAUCGGUGGNAUAUAUAUAUAUACAAAAAUCAACAUGGAUCAGAUGAAUUGGUGGCUACCAAGAGACUCAGAGGCUUGAUGGUUAUCUUGAACAUGGUCUGAACCCUAGAAAUCUUUAGCCCCAGCUUCACCGGAGCUCCAAAAAACAUCAUGUCACAGCCAUUUCUUGUUCCUAUUUACAUGUGAGAAAGAUGUGCUUUUAGCAUUAAAGCAAUAGCUUCUUCUAUUGGGAGGUAACAAACUGGAUCCAUAAACAGGAAAAAAAGAAAGGAAUAACUCAUAUAUCCCAAAUAAUCAUUAAACCAUAACGAUCACUAAAAACCAGAGAUAAAGUUAAAAAAAAAUUGGUGAUAUCAUUAUGUAAUUAAACAGUUGAAUGACUACAAUUAUCUUACAUUCUUCUAUUCAUCAUCUUGUUCCAGAUCAUAAGUAAACUACAAUACAAAAAUAAAAAGUGAGAUAACAAUAAGGAACGUAUUAGAUAUGAGCAGAGAUUAUUUCAGAAUAAGAUGGUUCUGAAACAUAGAUGAGGCUGACUAUUUAAAUUUAAUUCCUUAUUAGUUUCUUGAUAUUUUAUUAAGUUAUUAAUAAUAUAAUUUUUGUUAUAGUAUUUUUAAAAACAAUUUAUUUGACCAUUACGCACCAAAAACACAUAAAACCUCAUAAACCCUAAAAUCCACAAUCUUUUGCAUCAAGAAAACUAAUGGGAAAACGAGGAAGAGAUCGUUCUCCAAACGUUACAAUCUUCAAUCAAGAUCCCGAGUUCUCGAACGCCUUCUUAUUCAGAAACUUCUGUAAUCGACAUUCAUGAUGCAGCGAAAAUCAAACGCCACCGAAAAUUUUAUUCCAUUGAUAUCCAUCGGUUAAGAUUGAUCACUUUUCAUUUGAUGAAUUUUUAUUUCUUUAAUCAAUAGCAAGAUAACUAUGAUCAUCAUGUUUGUCUUUCCGAAGUGAAAUUCGUGGCAACUUGAACUCAAAAUUUCUCGAAAUCUGGACUUAUUUUUCUUGGUUGAUGAAUUUCAUGUUUAAUGUUUGAAUCUGCAGCGGAUUCCACCGGAUUUUAUCAAGCAUUUGGAUCAAAAGAUACCGGAGAAGAUCGUUCUUAAAGAUGUUUCAGGAAGAGUCUGGCAUGUGGAUGUGAAUCGAGAGAAAACUAGUGUUUUUUUGAAGAAUGGUUGGAAUAGAUUUGUGAAGGAAAAGAGCCUAGAGCUUGGCCAAUUCAUGGUGUUCAGAUACAAGAGAAGAUCAUCAUCAUUCACUGUUCGACUUUUUGGUAAGAAUGCAUGCAUGGAUGAAGAUCAAGACUCUAGAAAACCCUUGAUCAAUAGUGUGAAAGAUGAACAAGAGUCUGAUAUGGAAUCAACCCCGAUGCUUAAAACGAAAACAAAGUACUGCAGAAAAUCACCAAAUUUUGCCUAAGAGGUUUCCCGAUUAAAAUUUUGGGAUGAUAAUGAGUUCAAUUUUCCAUUCUUUCACCUUUUCUUUAUGAAAAAGGCUUUAAUAUUGUUGGUAUUUUAGUUUAUUAUUCUUUUAGAUAUGUUCCAAACAAGCAAUCGUAAAUAUUUAGAAAAAAAAAAAGUCGUACGCUAAGUAGUUUGAAGAAAAAAGAUGAUUUCCUGUAUUAAAGAUUCUUUAUGAUUAUUGAUCAAUGAUCAAUUAUGUGUUUGUAUUUUUUAGGAUUUAUAAAUUUGAUACCGGAUGCAUGUAACUUAUGUUUCAAUAAUUUAUAUACGUAAAUAUUUAAAAUGUUGUUUGACAGAUGAGGGUCUAAUAUUUGUUGAUAAAAUGUCUGUUUUAGUUGAGGUGAUUUCCUUCUUCUUCUUCUUCUUCUUCUUCUUCUUCUUCUUCUUCUUCUUCUUCUUCUUCUUCACUGAAACCUUAAUUUUUCCUUCAUUUUUAAGAUUGCUAUUCCCUGCAUUUAAACUAACUCACUCAUGUUAUUUUCCAUGAUUGCUUAUACCAACUUUGAUUAUUUUCUCUGAAUUGAAUAGAAAUUUUUCUUCACUCACUCGAUGUUUUUUGUGUGACAGGUGGUUAAUAGUUUGAUCUUUGCUCUAUCGAUCACAAGCAACACAUCUACUUGUAGAAAUUUUAAUUAUUUUGAUACACAAGAGAUGUUGCAUGUUAGUUCUGGAGAUGAGUUCAAUUACUGGAAUGCCCUUGGUCUUUCUUUCUGACCACUCUCUAUAUUCGUAAAUGCACAUCUGAAAUCCAGUCGGUGGAUAUAUGAUAAUUCACAAGUCAAGGAAAGUCAAUGCCAUAGAGAAUCAAGUCACAAUCAAUCUCCGAAUCCUUUAUGAAUCAUCAGUUUCCAAUUGCAAAUUGAAUUUAUAUUUGACAAAUCUUCCCAAUGAAUCAUCCAUCAUUAUCUUCCUUGAAACCACAUCAGAUGAAUCUUCCCUUUAAAUCUUGUUAUCCUUGCUAAUAACCAACAUUUACAUCGUAAUUACAAACAUACAUCAAUUCAAGAAUCAUCUUCAUUUUUCAAUCUCCAUAAACCCCAAUUUCAACAAUGAAGUUUAAAUGUAGAAGAGUGAUUUAGAUUCUUCAGAGAAUUUGCUCCCAAGAUAGACAUCCAAAAUUUUAAUGACAAAAAUGAAUCAAGAUUCUUCUUCAUUACUCAAGCUCCAUAAACCCUAAUUUCACCAAUCAAUGUUCUUUCUUGAAUAUCAUCAUCUUUCUUACCAUUGUCAAGGCGCGAGAAUGGAAACCCUUGUAUAAAGUCAGUCAACGUAGAGCAUUAGGGUUAAAUUUCCCUUUGGAUAAGAAGAAGACAGGAGAAAAGGGCAAAAUUGUCAAACUUGAGUCACGUAAAUGAGAUGGAUAUGGUGAAUUUGGGGUAUGGAGUUUAUGCUAGUUCUUAGAAUUUGUGAACGUAAAGACAGCAGAAAACUAAAUAGACAAUUCUACCCUAGUGCUAAAAUUACAUUAAUAAAAAAGCAAUCUAAAUCUCAAAAAUAAAAAACCUUAAUAUGCCUAAAAGCAAAAGAGUAAUAAAGCAAAUAACAAUAUUUUAAGAUAGAAAAUGUUAGAGGAUCAUUAUAUAAGUUGUGCUUAAAUUAAUAGUAAUUUUUUUUUUCAAUUUUAGUCAUUAUUUGAGAUAUAUGUGAUGUUUUUUUUCACUUUUUACGCAAAAUGACUAUAUUACCCUUUUAUUUAUAACAAAACAGAAAAGGGUAAUUAUUUGAGAUAUUUGUGAUGUUUUUGUUUAUGUUUUAAGCAAUUGACAAUAUUAUCCUUUGAUUUAAAAUAAAAUAAAAAACCAGAAAAGGGUAAUACAACCAUUUUACUUGGAACAUGACCAUAACCAUUACAAAAAAGAAAAACUUUUGUAAUUUAUUUUUAAAUUAGAAAAAAAAAAAACAGAAAAGAGCACGUGGUUAAUAGUUGGCUUCAAAUGUGAUCUAAGCUAUCAAUUGCGCGCUAUAGCGGUGCUAUAGCGGCGCUAUAGCGUUUUGCGGAGGUCAGGAACCGUUAUUUUCAAUUUAGCGUUUUCGUUUCGCGGUACCGCUAUUAGCGGCGCUAUUCACCGCUAUUUAUCGCUAUUUCAAUAACCACUAUUGCGGCGCUACGGGCACUAUUCCAUUUUCGUUCAUAUUUUAGGUCAUUUGGUUACUUUGUCAAUGAAAAACUACUUUUAAUGAUGUCACUAUGCUUUCAUUUUAAAAAGCCCGAACAACUAACAUAAAUAAAAGCAUGCAUAGCAACUACGUCUACCGACAACUCUCUUUCUCAUCUCUUUCUAUACUCAUGAAGACUUGAGCUGCUAUGGUCGGACUCCAUUAAUGUUUUUUGUAAAUAGACUCACACUUAUGACGCUACCACUUGGGACUUAACUUCUUAAAUCAACCACGACCUACUAAUACGAUAUUGAAUCCGUGCAAUGCAAUUAAACUCUAUUUGACAUUUUGACACUACCUAGUUUCCAUAUUACUAUAAUAGAGUAUUAUGUUAUGUUUUUAUAUGACUUUUUAGAUUUGAUGAUACUAAUUAUAUAUAGACUUAUAGUAUUAAUACUCAAAUAUAUAAAUCUUAUAUAAACAUAAUAUAAAAUUAUAAAUUAUACUAAGUAAUAGUAAAAAACCGCUAUAACACCGCUAUACCACCGCGAUAACCGCGAUCUCAAAUAGCGGCAUGUGACCGCUAUUGAAAUUUUUACCGCGAUAACUGCAUAGAAUGUGAUAAACUUACAAAAGUUUAAGCAGACGUUUUUAAUAAUUCAACUGCUGCAAAGAGAACAACAGGUGGGUGGUCUUCAGUCAAGAAACAUAAAAAUUGAAGUUCACUAUAGAAAUUGAUUUUGCAGUUUUUCAAUUCGAUUAAGGUAUAUCAAUUUCUUCAGCUUUUAUGGAUUUUUUUCUAUUGCGUUGGAAUUUUUACAUGAGAUUUUUGGAGAGCCACUGGUAAUUAUUCUUAUAAGGUCAUAUGUCGAUGCAAAAAAUCAAAAUAUGUAUAUCACCUACAAAAUUCAAACAAAAAAAGAACAUGACAACACAAAGUACAUCAUAAUAGAAGUAGAGAAUAGACAACUACAAACUUCACAAUCGAAGGUAAUCAAAGCAGAAGAUACAUACUCAUUAAAAAAAGAAUGCGACAACAUGAAGUAUGCAAUAGAAGAGCAGAUAAUAGAGAAAUGCGAAGGUAACAAUCAAAGGUAAUAGAAAGCUCAAGGAAUAUUGGAAAAAGGGAGAAUAUAAUAAUAUGACUUUCAGUAGUUGACAAAAUCUGACUAUAAUUUUUCUUACAGCAUCCAUUGCAUUCAUCAAAUAACCAUGAAUGUCAGUUGAAAAACAUAAAAAUAUAAUCUUUUUCUAAAUUCCAAAAUGAAGAAUCGCCAAAAGUUACAAAUCUUGAAUAAUUACACACGUUAAAUGACAUAAAUUAGUCUUUAAAAUAAUCAAUCGGUUCACUUUAUGAUACAAAAUCUUAAAGAAAUUUGACCAACAAUAAGUUUGUGAUUUGAAAAAGAGAACAUCUCUAGACUGAGUGAUUGAUUUAAUUAACUAAAACUUCUAAACAAAAACACCAUGAAUUAUCAAUGAUUAAAAAGCUAACUUCUUUUACCUAGUUUUCAAGAAGGUGAGAUCAAACAACUGACUUCUUUCACCUAAUUUUCAAGAAAAUUGAUCAACACAAAGUUGUUGAAGAAAAAAGUCUGUAAUACUAAAAAUUAAAAAAAAUAAAAAGUUAAGAACAAACUUCAAUUGGGUGAUUGAUCAAAAUAACCAAAAUUUUAAAGCAAACAACGUCAUACUAAAUUUGGAAGAUCAGACAGUUUUUGACCGAACUUUCAAGAAUAUUGAUCAGCAAAAUGUUCCUAACUUUGAAAAAAAAAAAAAAAAAAAAAAAAAAAAAAAAAAAAAGAUAGAAAAAUGUUUAUGUGUGCAAGAAACCAACAUUUACACAAAUUUAAGAACAAACCUCAAUCCGGGGUCUGAAAUACAUUAAAUGACUGAAGAAUCGGACGUUUAUUUCUGAUCGGAAAAUCUUGUCUUCAUCGAAACUGUAUCAAAUUGGAAUCACGGUAAUAGAAUCAACACAUACACACACCUGGCCCGAAAGCAUGUUCUUGGGAAGGACCUGCAACCCACAGUGAGGGGAGUAAUCCGAAAAUUAAAAACAACAAAACACAAAUUAGAAAAAAUUAGGGCUCAAACCUACCUGAAUCAGGUUUAUAGUCUCCGGUAAUAACUUAACAGGGGCUUUUGCCGGAGGCAUUAUCCUGUGUUAAGUCGAUGAAGUUGUUGUAGGCCGACGAAAUCCGAUGAAUCAAAGAGAUGAACGGUGAAGACGGUGGGUGAAGAAAAAACGCAUGGUGUAAAGAAUUUAGUGGAAUAGUGAGGAUCUGGAAGGAUGAAUCAAAAGGCGAUUGGAAGAAACAGGAUCAAUCGUUGGGUUCUUUGAAGAAGGAAGCAAGACGCCAGUCAGUGUAAAAGGGUAAGUAUCGGAGGAACGGUGACGUUGUAUUCAAGGAGAUCCGCCCCAGAACAGUACCCGA
rnacentral:lncRNA from 1 species